UACAGAGGUGGCAAGCGUUGUUCGGAAUUACUGGGCGUAAAGGGCGCGUAGGCGGCCGCCUAAGUCAGACGUGAAAUCCCCAAGCUUAACUUGGGAACUGCGUCUGAUACUGGGUGGCUUGAGUUCGGGAGAGGAAUGUGGAAUUCCAGGUGUAGCGGUGAAAUGCGUAGAUAUCUGGAGGAACACCGGUGGCGAAGGCGGCAUUCUGGACCGAAACUGACGCUGAUGCGCGAAAGCCAGGGGAGCAAACGGG
rnacentral:rRNA from 1 species